GGGGUUGGAACUUCCCAUCCCAUCCCCAGACCUCCUGGGGGAGGAGAGGGGCUGGAGGUUGAAUCAAUCCCCAAUGGCUAAUGAUUUACUCAAGCUUACCAGUACCCUAAAGCCUCCUUAAACAGCCAAGAGGACUGGGUUCAGGGGGCGUACUCUGAGGAGGCAUAGGAGUUCCCUGCCCCUUCCCCAUACCUUGUCCUAUGCGUAUCUCCAUCUAACCAAUUCAUAUUCUUUCAUAUUCUUUGUAAUAAACUAGUAAUCCACUGAGUAAAUUGGUUUCCUGAGCUCUGUGAGCUGCUCCAGCAAAUCAGACUCCAAGGCGGGGAGGGAUCCUCUGGUUUACAGCCCAUCAGUCGGAAGUACAGGGCUUCGUAUCUGCUCCGGAGUCUUCUGCUUUGCAAAAAUAGGAGAACGAUCAUCAUCACCUCAUCCCUAGUCAAGUGCUGGCUCCAUGAGAUAAUCCGAUCCUUGGGAUUCACCUCGAGUCCCCAUUGCUGCCGAGUUGGCUUGAGAAUGUUAUAAUCGCUCUCUUCUCAGAAGGGAGAUUUCCAAACCUGUCACAAACAUGUGAAAGCAUCUUCAUCCAGGGCUUUGGUGGAUAUUUUGGAGUCACUACCUCCCUUCAAUGGAUCCUGAACCCAAGCCACCUGCCUGUUUUUCGGAAUUUCUGGUCAACGAAGUCCUGUACUGACCGUACAGACAUCUAUUUCCUUAUAGUGUGUUUGGUGCUUCUAAUCUUCGUCCCUACCACGUGUGCUGGUAAGGAUGACAUGAAGCAGGGGCCUCUUUCUCUGUCCAGCCCUCUGGACCACAAUCCCCACACCACACAGGCAUGCUCUCUCCCUUUCCAAACCUCAUCCCAAAUUUUCCACUUUGCUUCACGGAAUAAUGGGGGCUGAGCCCUUCCCGUUGGACUCUGUGUAUCUCCUGCUUCUAGACUCUUCCUGAAAUUAUGCUGAAAGCCUCUCUUGCUUCACUCUUUGUAAUUUUUCUUUUGCUUAGCUUGACAGCAUUUAGAGGCAGUUAUUUCAAAUAGCUUCCAAGUAACCCUUUGUCUUUUUUGACUGGGGACCAGCAUGA